UACGUAGGGUGCAAGCGUUGUCCGGAAUUAUUGGGCGUAAAGAGCUUGUAGGCGGUUUGUCGCGUCUGCUGUGAAAUUUCGGGGCUCAACCCCGAACUUGCAGUGGGUACGGGCAGACUAGAGUGUGGUAGGGGAGACUGGAAUUCCUGGUGUAGCGGUGAAAUGCGCAGAUAUCAGGAGGAACACCGAUGGCGAAGGCAGGUCUCUGGGCCACAACUGACGCUGAGAAGCGAAAGCAUGGGGAGCGAACAGG
rnacentral:rRNA from 1 species